rnacentral:lncRNA from 1 species
CAGGGCUGCGCCUCUUCCUGAUUGGAAUCUGGUGGGCCGACAACCCGAGUGGUGAGUGUAACCCAGGCCCGCCAAUCAGAGCGUCCCCCAGGAUGGACCAGGGUAGGCCACGUGACUCAGUGGAACCAAUCAGGAGCAAUGAGAGUGGAUUCUGACUCUUUGCUGGAAUUAAAGGGAAGCUGCCUUUUUUACCUCAGUGUCAUGACGCUGGGGAGGAGGAGCUGCUGCCACAGAGAAUCCCGUCAACAUCAUCUAAGCCAGGCCGGGCCUCAAGACUGAUCUCCCCGUAAGCUUCGCAGAAACGCAAGCCAGUCACUUCCUCUCAAAUGGACACGAUGACCAGGCUGAAUCCGUCUGGGAUUUGAGGAGAGAGGAAAAGGUUUCCACUGGCCAAGGAACCCAACUACAGCAAGUUUAGUUAAAAGACUAUUCAUUGGCAUCUGUUUGCAACUCCAGACCCAGGCAACACCUCAUUGUACAGGACAAGUGUUCUCCUGAGCUGAGCAGAAGAAGCGGCUUCAAAGGCAGAAAAGGGCUGAAGAAAACAGAAACAGAACCAAAAGCAGACUAAUCAAUCAAAGCAAAGGAGAAGCAGGGGGAAUCGCUCUCAAUGUGAAUCACCAGCGGCCAGGAGGAGGAUGUGCACUGCAGGAUCCAGUGCAAACCGGAAAGGUGGCUUCCUGCUCCAGGUGGCGGAGAGUGUCCAGGUGGCAGCAGCAGAGUGAUGAGCCAGCUGGGCCCAUGGACUGCACAGGCUGGACUCCAGCAGGAAGCAGCCACCAUGCUGAAAUCCUCACCACAGAGCACUUUCCCCUGCUCCUGAGCUGCACAAAACCCAGCCAUCCUUGUGUGUCUGGCUUUCCACUCAGCGCACAGCAGGGGCUGCCCGAGGCUGUCCUCUGCCAUUCACCUGUUACUGUGCACCACUCCCUGCUAUGUGUGUAGCACCAUUUACUGAGCCAUGGUCCUUUUGACGGACAUUCAAGUUGUUUUAAUUGCUUAUUAGAAAUAAAGUUGCUAUGGCCACUCUGCC